rnacentral:rRNA from 1 species
UACGGCUCAGUAACACGUAGUCAACCUGCCCUGGAGACAAGGACAACCCCGGGAAACUGGGAUUAAUCCUUGAUAGGUCAUCUCAUCUGGAAGGAGAGAUGGCUUAAAGGGGUACGCGGGCUUCUUCCGCGAAUUCGCUCCAGGAUGGGACUGCGUCCGAUCAGGCUGUUGGCGGGGUAAUGGCCCACCAAACCUGUAACCGGUACGGGCCUUGAGAGAGGUGGCCCGGAGAUGGACACUGAGAGAAGGGUCCAGGUCCUACGGGGCGCAGCAGGCGCGAAACCUUCGCAAUGCNCGAAAGCGUGACGAGGUUAAUCCGAGUGACUCCCGCUGAGGGGGUCUUUUGUCAGCUGUAAAUAGGCAGGCGAAUAAGGGGAGGGCAAGCCUGGUGUCAGCCGCCGCGGUAAUACCAGCUCCUCGAGUGGUCGGGGCGAUUAUUGGGCCUAAAGCAUCCGUAGCCGGUUCCGUAAGGUCCUCUGUUUAAAUCCAACCGCUUAGCCGGUUGAACUUGCAGAAGGAAUACCGCCGGGACUACGGAAGGCCGGGGAGAGGCGGAACGGUACUCCCCCGUGUA